GGAAGGGUCAUUACCUAGAGUUUGCAGACUUCGGUCUGCUACCUCUUACCCAUGUCUUUUGAGUACCUUCGUUUCCUCGGCGGGUCCGCCCGCCGAUUGGACAACAUUCAAACCCUUUGCAGUUGCAAUCAGCGUCUGAAAAAACAUAAUAGUUACAACUUUCAACAACGGAUCUCUUGGUUCUGGCAUCGAUGAAGAACGCAGCGAAAUGCGAUAAGUAGUGUGAAUUGCAGAAUUCAGUGAAUCAUCGAAUCUUUGAACGCACAUUGCGCCCCUUGGUAUUCCAUGGGGCAUGCCUGUUCGAGCGUCAUUUGUACCUUCAAGCUCUGCUUGGUGUUGGGUGUUUUGUCUCGCCUCCGCGUGUAGACUCGCCUUAAAACAAUUGGCAGCCGGCGUAUUGAUUUCGGAGCGCAGUACAUCUCGCGCUUUGCACUCAUAACGACGACGUCCAAAAGUACAUUUUUACACUCUUGACCUCGGAUCAGGUAGGGAUACCCGCUGAACUUAAGCAUAUCAAUAAGCGGGAGGAAGAG
rnacentral:rRNA from 1 species